AGCCGGUAGUAUUCUUGUGAAAAAAAGGCUGCAGCAACGCAUCGAUUAUGAAGGACCUUGGCCAAUUUCUAUGUAGAUCACCAUUGGAGGGCUUCAACUUUGGAGUCUUAUGGAGAUCACCUACUUACCAUAUUGCUCAUUAGAGAAAGUAUAAACUUCUGUCUCCUUGCGUGCUUAUUUUUAUUUUGUUCGAUAUCUACAAGGUGAUUCUAGGAUUUGAAUUUCGGUUUGAUAGUUUUAAUUGUUAAAGCUAUUGAUAUAUUUGUUUUAAAAUUUUUAAAAUUCAACUUCCACUAUGUGAUCAGAAUCCAAUAAUGGUAUCAGAA
rnacentral:lncRNA from 1 species